rnacentral:rRNA from 1 species
GCAAACGGGUGAGUAAUACAUAGGAAUCUACCUAGCAGUAAGGAAUAACCCUGGGAAACCAGAGCUAAUGCCAUAUAUUACCGAUUUAUCGGGAAAGAUUUAUCGCUGUUAGAUGAGCCUGUGCCGGAUUAGCUUGUUGGUAGGGUAAUGGCCUACCAAGGCAAUGAUCCGUAGCUGGUCUGAGAGGAUGAUCAGCCACACUGGGACUGCGACACGGCCCAGACUCC